rnacentral:rRNA from 1 species
UUGGCGGACGGGUGAGUAACGCGUGGGGAACCUGCCCUGUACAGGGGGAUAACACUUAGAAAUAGGUGCUAAUACCGCAUAAGCGCACAGUAUCGCAUGAUACAGUGUGAAAAACUCCGGUGGUACAGGAUGGACCCGCGUCUGAUUAGCUGGUUGGCGGGGUAACGCCCACCAAGGCGACGAUCAGUAGCCGGCCUGAGAGGGUGAACGGCCACAUUGGGACUGAGACACGGCCCAAACUCCUACGGAAGGCAGCAG